ensembl:lncRNA
GUCGCUACGUCAGUGGUUGUUAUUCGGCGGAUGCCAAACCUCAGAUAUCAUCUCCGCUCUGUUGAUUGAACGCUCGCCACGGCGGUGAGGGCAUAAAGGAACAGAGAUUUAUUAUAUGCGUUGUCGUUCUCCCUCUGGUUGGGACCGUGGUGUCGUGCUGUUGGCCAGGGCACUUACUGUAGGCUAAAGCGCUAUGACAUCGUGUUCCGCUUUGAAAUGCGGCACCCAAAACAUGACACCCCCCACACACACAUCGCCCCACCGAGAGUCGCCCUCCGUCCCGCAGCAGUUUAGCCUGAAAGCGACGGAGGGGCAGAGCAGAGGGAGGAUAUUUGAGUCAUGCUCUCCUUUCAGCAGUACACUCUGUACUUUUCACGGUUUUACUCUCUGGGAUAGAGAGUGGCUCUCAGAAUGUCAGUCUGUCCAUUAGCAGAAGUCCCCACCACUGCCGCUAACCGUAGCCGUUUUAGCCAACUAGCACCGCGCCGCGUGCGCUGGCGGAGGUUCAACUGUUCAGACCUGAGAGCGAACGGCUGGUUGUGUUCUUCAAACAGAGAUGAUGGUUGGGUUUUAUUGACCCGAUUGUUUUCAAAACAUUGGGGCUGAUUCGGGGGUGCUUUGGUUUGUUUGUAAUUUUUUAUGUUAGCAAUACGCCAAAGGCUAGCUCAGCGCUACAGCACAGCGCACAGCGCUCCGACGCAUCGGAUCUCGAGAGUUUGGCUCGACGUUCUCUCGUGUACUUAAUAAAAAAGAAUUGUUGCUCUUGUAGUCGAGGUUGCAUGCGGUACCAGAAGGGUAUUAACCACUUGUUUGGGACAUUUAACGCAACUUGAAAGUCGGGGAAUUUGAUGGUGUGGACGUGGUAUUUUGCGCAUGCGCCGACCACACGACAAAUGGCUGCUUCUCACACCGACUCACGUGUCUCAAUGCCUUUACUAGCACCUUAUCGAGGAUAUCUUUCAAACAUUAUUUUAAAGGUGAAUAAAUAAGUGAAUGUCUUUUUGUUUCACGCCUGAGCGAUGUACGAGUGACGCGAAAGAGCGGAAUCACAUAAAAAAGAAAAUGCGAGUUUGCCCAUGAAAAAAAAGCACCCUCUUUGUUUUAGCUUUGACCAAAACAUAUGAUCAAAAAUAUUUCUUAUUAUUUAAAACUGUUUUUCACUGCGAGUACCAUUUCUUUAUAAAUAUAUGGUGAGGAUUUAAGUUUUUAUUUUGCCAUUUAUCUCCGUUUCUACAGUCUUCAUAUUGUGUCAGUGUUUCAUCAGACCUGUUUUAACUAUGUUCCAUUUGAUCUUGUGUUCAGCGUUACUGUAAGGCCUGUCCAUCUGUGUUCGCAUAUACCUCACCCUCUGCCUUAGUUUGAGUUUGCUAAGAUGGUUGUAAAUGAUGAAGAAAACGAGAGCCUUAUUGAACCGUUUUAGUGAAAACGCAGAGUAAGGAUCGUAUGUGCUGUGCACAGUAGUCCACUGUAUUCCUGAUAACAAUAAAGAUGUUGAUUUUGUUUUUUAUGCCAUUGGUAUGUUUUUAUUCUCCCGUCUCUUGUGUUUGUAGGGGGUGCUGUGUGUGUGUGUGUGUGUGUGUGUGUGUGUGU